AUCAGAGAUGGAAUGGGUAUAUAACUUACAAACCCUAACACCCCAAGGUCUUAAUGUGGAUUUUGAUUUAUUUAAUUUUUUAUAAGUCUUUACCUUUAAAUAAUUUCAUCCAUUAAUUGUUAUUAUUGAUAUUACCUACAUGGAUUUAUUAUUUUAUGCUUCUCUUAUGUGAUUUUUAUCUACUCACUUCUUAUUCACUUUAU